rnacentral:rRNA from 1 species
AUUGAACGCUGGCGGCAGGCUUAACACAUGCAAGUCGAGCGGAGAUGAGGUGCUUGCACCUUAUCUUAGCGGCGGACGGGUGAGUAAUGCUUAGGAAUCUGCCUAUUAGUGGGGGACAACAUUCCGAAAGGAAUGCUAAUACCGCAUACGUCCUACGGGAGAAAGCAGGGGAUCUUCGGACCUUGCGCUAAUAGAUGAGCCUAAGUCGGUUUAGCUAGUUGGUGGGGUAAAGGCCUACCAAGGCGACGAUCUGUAGCGGGUCUGAGAGGAUGAUCCGCCACACUGGGACUGAGACACGGCCCAGACUCCUACGGGAGGCAGCAGUGGGGAAUAUUGGACAAUGGGGGGAACCCUGAUCCAGCCAUGCCGCGUGUGUGAAGAAGGCCUUAUGGUUGUAAAGCACUUUAAGCCAGGAGGAGGCUACUGAGACUAAUACUCUUGGAUAGUGGACGUUACUCGCAGAAUAAGCACCGGCUAACUCUGUGCCAGCAGCCGCGGUAA